CUCGGGGUCUUUCUUGCUCAGACAAUUUUUUCGUGGGAAAACUCAACUGCACCUAGGUUCAUCAUGGGUCACCAAAAUUGCGUGCAUGUGAGUUUUAAUGCUAUAUGUACAGCUACAAUUUUCUAACAUUGCCACAGAACGACCCGGGCGGAAUGGUGGAAUCGGUGGGAGGGAUCUGAGGAGGGAAAGCCGGAAACGGCCAAUCCCUUCACGAAGUGGAAUCACGUGACCGGGUUCCAAGACUCAAGCCGAAAUAUCGAUCCACCCCAAGCUGUCCCGACCUCUGCAAUGUGGUGGAACAAGAUUUGAGACGACGGAUUGUACGAUGCCAGACCUCUUAUUUUAUCGUGUGUUGGCGUGGAGCAAAAGAAGGAUUAACAAUAGCACUUUUGCGAUAUCUAAUCUGACUUCAAACAUUGAGCUUGAGGGCAUUGUCGAACUUUGCUACAUUUGUAAAGAACAUGUGUUCUUUGUCCAAUGAGUUGGAUUGGAGCAAGUUUUCCCUUUUCUUCAUGUGCUCGAUUUUUAAGAGCUAAGGCUAACGACUCCAUGAAAAGAAUUUGCCAGAGAAACGUUGCUGAAGAAGGGGCUGAAGGGGUGCAUUUAUUCGGGAAGUCGUUGUCACGGUGAGGGUUUGGAUGGCCAUCGCCGCAGCAGUCGUGGCUUCUUGCACUCUUCUUGUUUCAGCCGUGGCUCCAUGCAUCAUCAUCAUCAUCAUCAUCAUCCGCAACUUCAGAGUUCAAACUUCAGACGGAGAGAGACCCCUGGAUGUGUGCUCACUCAGAAACAAAAGAACCAUCGUGGAUGAAGUUAAAUAUCGUGUCAUCACCUUGUCCCUGCACGGCUCCACUCCAAAUUGAGACGAAAGAAGAUUUAAGGCAUUGCCCAAUGUCUUUCUUGGCUCGGAAAAAUGAACGUGACAAUCUUGGAGAUGUUUCCCAACACUUCAUCCAUCAAUCUCUACCCCAAUCUGUAUCAAGAAAUGUCAAGUCUCUACCUACAUACUGCAGUGUAGUGUACAGGGUGCUUCAAAAGAAUCCAAACAGCAAACCACGUGUAUGGUAUGGUUAGCCUCACAAAAGAUCUGGUCUAGCUCAACAAGAUGUGGCAGAGACCAAUGUUGGGAUACAUUACAUAAAACUUUUAUUUCCACUUCG